UUAAUAAAUGGUCAGUAGAUGACACGUCACUGGCUUUAAAAUAUAAACCCUAUUGAUGCAAAAAGGUAAGGUGCUUAAAGGGACCUCGUAAACCUGACUUCUGUCACUAAUGUUCAUCAAAGAGCAAAAUAAAAGAAAUCUGUGUUUUGUAGCUUUAAUGAUAAUUCUUAUGUAUUUCAUUUAGAAUUAAGCAUUAAAGACUUUAAAGUGUUUGAGGACUUAAUUAAAAUUCUGUAUAUUUCACACUAUUUUUUUAUUGAACAUUGUGUUUUGAAAAAAAAAACAUCACUAGUCAAUUGCAAUCUCAAGUUAAUGUAGACUUUAGGGAACUUGUUUGUCUGAAAGUGUAUAUAUAAAGAUUUUGUGUUUUAAGAUGCUGCAUGACAAUGAGGUUUGGAACAGACUUGGUGAAGAACAUGGAAACAUCUCUAAAUAAAAUGGCCCCAAACCUUAUCAGGAGUGCAAAAGAAUGAAGUAAAAAACAUCUCUACGCCAAUCUCAUUGGAACAGCAGAGGAAAGCACAGAAGGUCUGGAGAGGAAUGCUGCACUUAUGUUAUUGCAAGCAUUAUUUCAAGAAAAUCCCAGCUUCCUUUACUGUGUAAAUAGUGAACCCAAAGGUCCCACACCAACCAUAGUGUUCAACGGCUCUCCUGAUCUUCUCAAAUCUGAAAGUAUCAACUUUAUAAGGGACAAUGUGAACAUAAUAUGUGGAUGACAUUGACAUCACAGGCUGUGGAAUGACUGUUUGAGUUUUUUUUUCUCCUCAGUGUUCAAAACCCUUUUGCCAUUAAGCACAC